rnacentral:rRNA from 1 species
GUCCACGCCGUAAACGAUGUCAACUAGCCGUUGGUUCUAUAUACAGAAUUAGUGGCGCAGCUAACGCAUUAAGUUGACCGCCUGGGGAGUACGGCCGCAAGGUUAAACUCAAAUGAAUUGACGGGGCCCGCACAAGCGGUGGAGCAUGUGGUUUAAUUCGAUGCAACGCGAAGAACCUUACCUACCCUUGACAUCCAGAGAAUCUGUUAGAGAUAGUAGAGUGCCUUCGGGAACUCUGAGACAGGUGCUGCAUGGCUGUCGU